CCUACGGGAGGCAGCAGUGAGGAAUAUUGGUCAAUGGACGAGAGUCUGAACCAGCCAAGUAGCGUGAAGGAUGACUGCCCUAUGGGUUGUAAACUUCUUUUAUAUGGGAAUAAAAUGUUCCACGUGUGGGAUUUUGUAUGUACCAUAUGAAUAAGGAUCGGCUCACUCCGUGCCAGCAGCCGCGGUAAUACGGAGGAUCCGAGCGUUAUCCGGAUUUAUUGGGUUUAAAGGGAGCGUAGGUGGAUUUUUAAGUCAGUUGUGAAAGUUUGCGGCUCAACCGUAAAAUUGCAGUUGAAACUGGCAGUCUUGAGUACAGUAGAGGUGGGCGGAAUUCGUGGUGUAGCGGUGAAAUGCUUAGAUAUCACGAAGAACUCCGAUUGCGAAGGCAGUUCACUGGACUGCAACUGACACUGAGGCUCGAAAGUGUGGGUAUCAAACAGGAUUAGAUACCCGGGUAGUC
rnacentral:rRNA from 1 species